rnacentral:lncRNA from 1 species
GGAACAGCCAAUGCAAAUGUCCCAGGUUGGGAGCACCGCUGGUCAGGAAGCCCGGGCUGAGUUUCAAGUGUUUUCUUAAGGCUUCAUGGGUGAUUCUGAUGCAUGGCCAACGUGGAAGUCUCCUGAAACUCUGUUUCUAUCCAGAAACUAAGAGGAGCAGAUGGACCCAAACUUCUUCUGAUUGGAAGAUGGUCUUUUUGUCUUCAGUGUCGCCUCGCCCAUGUUUUCUUAUCUCCUAACUCAGUUCCUUUUCUCUACCCAUCCUUCACAUUUAUGUAAACUGUUGGGUAAUGUGAAC